rnacentral:rRNA from 1 species
UACGGAGGGUGCAAGCGUUAUCCGGAUUCACUGGGUUUAAAGGGUGCGUAGGUUGAUAGGUAAGUCAGUGGUGAAAUACUCCGACUCAAUCGGAGAACUGCCGUUGAUACUAUCUAUCUUGAAUACGGUGGAGGCGGGCGGAAUGCGUCAUGUAGUGGUGAAAUACUUAGAUAUGACGCAGAACACCCAUUGCGAAGGCAGCUCGCUACACCGGCAUUGACACUGAGGCACGAAAGCGUGGGGAGCGAACAGG